rnacentral:lncRNA from 1 species
GCCCUCUCAGCCGGCACGGGGGGCCCUGUGCCCACUGACCCACCACCUCUGGCCCGGCCCCUCCAGUGCACCAAGCCUGCACCAGCUCAGGGCCCCCCGCAGGCAGCCCUUCUCCAAGCCCCACCUUUCCACAGCACAGCAGAGGGGACGCGGGCCAGGCUGGGCCCCGGGGAGGGGGGCUUGGGGCCGAGCAGGGCACGCACGAGCACCGGGGGCAGCUCUGUGGUCCGCGGAACUCGGGUCCCCCAUUCAGACUCACCACGGCUGGCCGUCCACCUCAGCCCUGCCCUUGCCGAGCAGAAAACAGGCUCAGCAGGGGGAGGGCACACAGCCCCCAGCCCGGGCCUCCUGACUGGAGCCCGUGACCUGGCGCCUGGGCUCUGCCCCCAGCCCAGCACCCAGGGAGGACCGGGCCCUCAACCCACUCGACGGAAGCACCGAGGCAGAAAGGCGCCCGUUCCCAGCUUGCACGGCCAGAGCGGACACUGGGCCACCCCUGACCUGCUGCUGGGCCCUUCCGGAAACUUCCAUAGGGCAACCAGAGGUAGCGGAGACCUCUCCACGGAGAUGGGGGGAUGGCGGGGGCGGGCAGGAGACACAGGCUCCAGAAGCACCCGGCAGCCCCUGGCCACGGGUCUCCAGGGCAGCGCGGGAGCUGGGGGGGCGGGGGGCGGGGGGCGGGCAUGCACAGGGUCCAUGCUGCUCCUCCCGGAAGUCCUCCAGGCUCCGUCCUGACAGCAAGGGGCGAGGAGCACCUCCUCACUGCGCGCUCACAAGCCUUCUCUCUGCAGCACCUACUGUGUGCAGGAAGGAUCUAGAAGGGCCCUCCUACACAGGGCUCUCAGCCCCCAAGGCCAGCCCGGCCCGGCACCAUCCCAGGUGCAGGGAAGCGCCUGGCCUGUGUCUCCGUUUAUUCAGCUCCAGGAAGCCGCGGAGGAAGAGUUGGUCCUGCCGAAAAUAAACCAGGAUCUGUCGGCAAACAGGCAAACACGAGAGAGCCUAGGGUUCCCAGCCCAUGGGAGGACUCCGAGGAGACCCCAGGCUUCCCACGGCGGGGGAGGGGAUGUGCCAGCCACUCUUGGGGGC